rnacentral:rRNA from 1 species
AUGAAUGGAUUGGUGUGGAAUUGUCGGGGAAUCAGCGGCUCCCGGACAGUUCGUGACCUCCUGACCCUCAAUCAAGUAUACCAUCCUCGCUUUAUUUUCUUAUGUGAGACUAGACAAGGCAAAGAUAGAGUUCGGCGACUACGUAACUGGCUUGGUCUGAAAGGCUUUGCUGGUGUGAGUAGAGAAGGGCUUAGUGGAGGGUUGGCCCUCUUCUGUAUGUGGAGAUAA